rnacentral:snRNA from 1 species
AUGCUCUGGUUUCUCUUCAGAUUGCACAAAUCUUUCGCCUUUUGCUAAAGAUUUCCAUGGAGAGGAGCAAAUCUGAGUUUCACUUCAAUUUUUUGAAACCCUAUUAUGCCAGGGUU